CUGAAUGAAUAAAAAUCACACACGCAUGAAAGAUAGAUAUAAGUAAAAAUUAAGACAGCAGCGUGAAUAUUUGUCCCCUUGACAUAGUUGAGCUAUCAUAUAGUCAACAGAAAGAGCAAACACGACUCCAAACAAAAUUUUGGCUUCUGACCUUCCACUCAAAACUCGCUCGUACAUAAAAUAGAACAUUUAAUGAAAUGUAUCAAGUUCUCCAGUAAGAUUGUGCAAACAUGCAGAAGGAAAAGGUGGUUCACAGUAUUAGCAACACACUGGGAGAGUCAAAUGCCUUCAUGUGCAAAUUUGAAUGACUCUUUUUCCCUCCAUUUACUAGUUUCACAGCUGGAGCCUUGGCAAUCCAUGUGAUUUUAACCUCAUCUAAAGCGAAGAGUUUCUCAAUCCAUCAAUUUGUCUUCAAAUCAUCUGGAAAAUUAUGUAUAAAAAAAUCCUCCAUUUUGAGGAUGAUUACAUAGAGCAUCCUUUAUUUUGAAACUGCAGUUAAUGUUCAUGAAAAAAGUUAACACUUAAAGAUACUCAUGCCCCAACUCUUAGAUCACAUCCACUGGCAUCCAAUUGUCAGUUGUGUAUACAAUAACUGCAAAUACCUAUGGCUUGCAUUUUGAUCCAUUUUUUUGUAUUCUAUUCAUAUGGUGGAUACUCGACUAAUUUAAACCAAAACUCCAAAUGGGAAACUUCUUUAGCAGUGCAAAUAAAUCAUUCAUUACAUGCCCAAAACAGUAUAUUCAAACCUGCUCUAGAAGCUAGCUGAACACACUUUGACAGAAGCAUAAUUUUCUCAACACCAGUACUGCUCCUGAAGAACAAACCAAAGUGAUGGAAAGAUAGACCAUCCAACAAAACAGAAUGUGGAAGCUAAGGCGCCUCUGGUUGCCCACAGGCAAAAGGAAAAAAGUUUGACCACUUGGCUUGUACACUAACAAAAUAGUACACAAUAACCUAUCCAGAUCCCAGGCAGCCUGAGCAUAAAUUACGGGCCGUGAUUUUUACUAUGAUUAUACAACUACGACCUAUACAUACCACAAAGAUUCGACUAAAAACUUCAUUAAAUAGCCACAUCAACGAGCACUGCCGGACUACAACACCAAUAUACUACAGCAAAUGAACAAGCUUCGUCCAUGUUGUCUCUGAGAAAUCAAACCAACCUCAAGUUCCCGACAACGCAAAAAAUGCUUUCGCAGCACCCAUUCAUAAAACCAAAAGAAUAAAAAAUAUUGUUUUUGAUAAACCAUUCGAAAACAACUUUCCUCUUCGAGAUGAACCAACAUGAAAGCACCUUCCCUUUCGUCUCACCAAUAGAUAAAACAAAAACAAUCUCUUGACACCACUUCACCAUCAUCAAUCCAAAUGUAGCUUUUGCAAAUAAGCAUCUUUCAGCUUCCUUCAUGCAGAGAAAGACCUGGUCUUGCCUUUGAAACUCAGCGAGAACAGCAAGAAGAUCAGACUUAAGCAAGCGAGAAACAUUUGAU